UUAAGAUUCAUAAAUUUGUGAUACACAUGGGAAACACACAAUAAAACUUCUCUAUUUUAACUGUCCGAAACAAGACCCAAAACCCUAGAGACUUCCUCAUCUCUUUCACUCUAUCACCCUUAGCCUUAGACCGCUGCCGGAAAUCGCCCGCGGCCGCGAAUCACCACCAAAGCUCCCCAAAUUAACGCCAAACAAUCCCUAAUCCCUCUUCAUCCCUAAUCCAUCUUCAUCCCUAAUCCAUCAUUAUUUUCCCCGAAAAACUCAUCAAACUCAACGAUUUUUAGAUCUGAGAUUCCAGAGAACCGUAAGUUCGUCCUCUUUCUGAUUUCGUCAACAAUUGCUGAUUCGUUUUGGCUCAAACUCACAUGAAUCGAUUGCUCUUGACCAGAGAAAUCAAUUUAUGUUAAUUUCAGCUCAUUUCGAAGUCACCAAGGCUCGUUCAAAAUCUAAUCAAUCGGACGGUUCUUGUCGAAGUCGCUUUUGUUAUUUCAAUUAGGGCCCGUCCAGUUUCUCUCUAUACCUCUUGCUGAAAGUGAUAGCCCAAUAGGUUAAUAAUUGAAAUAUUCUCAUGUUUGAACAGUCCAUGAUACUGGUUGACUACUAUAGUUAGUAAACUCAUGAGGAUGAGGAAUAAAUCCUGUUCACUAUUGACACCUUUAACCCAUAAGGAUGGAGUUUAAGUGUGGAAUUCAAGCUGAAAUCAAAAGCAUGAGGAGUCAUAAGACAAUUGCUUAGUUCCUAAGUGUUGUUACACAAUUUAAUUUUAGAAAUAUAGAGUUUCAGUACAUAGAAGUGUUCAGCAGUGUAAACAAAUUUGGAUCAUAAAUUUAGAACUGUGAUAUAAUUUGAAACAUUCAUGUGUUAGGGGUUGUAAUUAAUUUUAUUAUUCCUGCAGUAUAUGAAAUGAUUAUGCAUUGUAAAUUGGUCA